GUUUGGAAGCUUGCUUUCCGAAACCUAGUGGCGGACGGGUGAGUAACGCGUGAGUAACCUGCCUUUCAGAGGGGAAUAACGUUCUGAAAAGAACGCUAAUACCGCAUAACGUACAGUUACCGCAUGGUAGCAGUACCAAAGGGGCAAUCCGCUGAAAGAUGGACUCGCGUCCGAUUAGCUAGUUGGUGGGGUAAAGGCCUACCAAGGCGACGAUCGGUAGCCGGACUGAGAGGUUGAACGGCCACAUUGGGACUGAGACACGGCCCAGACUCCUACGGGAGGCAGCAGUGGGGGAUAUUGCACAAUGGGGGAAACCCUGAUGCAGCAACGCCGCGUGUGGGAAGAAGGUUUUCGGAUUGUAAACCACUGUUCUUGGUGAAGAUAAUGACGGUAACCAAGGAGAAAGCUCCGGCUAACUACGUGCCAGCAGCCGCGGUAAUACGUAGGGAGCAAGCGUUGUCCGGAUUUACUGGGUGUAAAGGGUGCGUAGGCGGCUAGGCAAGUCAGACGUGAAAACCAUGGGCUCAACCUGUGGACUGCGUUUGAAACUGUUUAGCUUGAGUGAAGUAGAGGUAGGCGGAAUUCCCGGUGUAGCGGUGAAAUGCGUAGAGAUCGGGAGGAACACCAGUGGCGAAGGCGGCCUACUGGGCUUUAACUGACGCUGAGGCACGAAAGCAUGGGUAGCAA
rnacentral:rRNA from 1 species